rnacentral:tRNA from 1 species
GGUGGCUCAGUGGUAGAGCGCUUGCUUCGUAUGCAUGAGGUCCUGGGUUCGAUUCCUCAGCACCA